UACGGAGGAUGCAAGCGUUAUCCGGAAUGAUUGGGCGUAAAGCGUCCGCAGGUGGCUGUGUAAGUCUGCUGUCAAAGAGCGAAGCUCAACUUCGUAAAGGCAGUGGAAACUACACGGCUAGAGUGCGUUCGGGGCAGAGGGAAUUCCUGGUGUAGCGGUGAAAUGCGUAGAGAUCCGGAGGAACCCCAGAGGCGAAGGCGGCGCUCUGGCUCGCAACUGACGCUCAGACACGACAGCAUGGGGAGCGAACGGG
rnacentral:rRNA from 1 species